ensembl:lncRNA
UGAAGUUGUUAGCUGGUCCGUGUUCAAAAGCACAAACAUGCAGGUAUGCUAAAGCACUAUUUUUAAGAAGAGUAAUUCAUUUGUUACAAAGUGUUCAACACCUGUUAUAGAUGAUGUGUAAACGCAUGAAUAAAUCAUUUACAAAGCUUUCUGUAUCCCCAAUCUAAAGUGUAAACUAUUCAUCACUUCUAAAUGUGUUACAUAUCAUUUGUAGACCUUUCUUACCUGUUACAAAUUUUUUGUAUAUGUACACGUCAUGUAUAACACUUUCUGCAUCCCCUAAUCUAAAGUGAAAACUAUUCAUCACUUGUAAAUGGAUUUGUAUAGAUUUGUAUAUCCUGUAACUAAAAGGUAUACCAGAACCUUUGCAUAUGGCAAAUACAUGGUAAAUUUACAAACUGCAGUUUGUACAUAAUUUAUAAAGAUCUGCAAAUGAUAUGUAACACAUUUACAAGUGAUGAAUAGUUUACACUUUAGAUUAGGGGAUGCAGAAACUUUGUAAAUGAUUUAUUCAUGCAUUUAUACAUCAUCUAUAACAGGUGUUGAACACUUUGUAGUGUGUACUAAGUCCUGACUGGUAAGGGUAUAGACAGCUGUCUUCUGACACACAUGGAGUCUUAAACUCUGUGCACCUGCUGUGAGCUUCAGUGGAAGGUAAAAGCGGUUGAGAGGUUCACUUUAUCACUAGAUCCCACACACUCCACACAGAACACAAGUCUUUUCUGAUGAGUGAAAGGAUUUAACACAACCCACUGGAAUCACCUGAUUAAGGCAUUUAUAAAUGUUUAUCCACUUUAAAACAAAUGAAUUGCUCUUCUUAAAAACAGUGUUUUAGCAUACCUGUAUGCAGAGCUGGGUAGUAACGGAUUACAUGUAAUCUGGAUUACAUAAUCAGAUUCCAAAUCUCAAGUACUUGUAAUUAGAGUAAACUACUUUUUGAAAUCCUUGUAAUCAGACUACAGUUACUUUUUUAUGGAUUACAUGAUUACAUAUUAUUUACACAAUGGUAAUAAGUUGUUCACAAUUAAUUGAUUCUCCUAAAUUUCCUUUACUUAUAAGUUAUUAGUUAAUGAUGAACGAAUCAUUUUACAAAACAUGAUUAUAUGUUCAUAAAUGAUUAAUGAGUGGUAUGCUAACGAUUUACAAAUGUGUUGUAAGUUAUCUUAAAAAAAAGUUCAAAUCAUGAAAUAAAUCAAACUGAUCAUUAGUAGAUGGUUUAUAA